UCGAGUAUGUUACUCAUGAGUUGAGCAGAGUCAAGGUAAGUGUCCCUUCUUACUCUUUUCAAGCUUAAGUUUUUUUAGCAUUUCAACUCGCAUACUCGUACAUUUAAUGUACUGAUCCCAAUUGGCCUACAUCCUAUCAUGAUAUAGACGAAGGUAACGAGGAUCGACAUCCGACACACCGUUAAUCCAGUUGAGCACUAUAAAGUCAGUGGUGACCCUUCUUGCAUUCCGGAUGACUCCUUUUAUUGCUUUUAUAGUAUUUUCUUUAUUAGGGAGUUAUGAAGUAUGUCCCAACAUCUAUCCCAGUUUUAGAAGGCUUCAUAGAUAGUGAGUCAGAUUUUUAUCCUUUAGUCUUUUCAUUAUCUUUUAAUUUGUUAAGACUUGGGUUGCCACUUUUGGCCAGUUGAAUGUUUAAUCUUUAAAACAUUCUUAGUUUUAUCAGUUCAAUUUAGUUAUUGAUUAUUACAUAAUUAUGUAUAUUGUCUUCCGCUGAGUUAAGUAAGCCAGACCAAGGGUACGCUCGAGGCCAGCAAUAGUCUUCGAGUACCGGCCACGUCCAGGGUGUAGGCUCGGACCGUGACACAGAGUAUCAAUCCAAAGGUGGAUAAGGGAGCUAACUACGGUAUGAUAAAGAGAUAACAACCUAAGAUAAGGAUCCCACCACCAAAAAUAAGAUAAAAGUUUCUAUGGAAUCAAGCAAAUUAUGAUAAGGAAGAUAUUAGAAUCUAUGCGUCCACUAUCAGUCAAUGGACCAGGUCCCUUGACACACAAAUAAGUAUAUAACAGAAAGUAAAUGCAGUUUAACGACAGAGGAGUUUUACGUGGGAACCUUCUUGCUCAAGGGAGUAAAACCAAGACCUGUCUCAUAAGAUUUUACAACCGUUUCACUAAUCUUCACAAGAAAAAGUAAACCGGUUACACAAAUGUGAGAAAAAGUUUUUAUUCUCACCAACAAGCAAUAACCCUAUUGCUUAAUGAGACUAAGUAGAUGUUAUUCUACCCACUAAGUUAUCACUCUAGACAACUUAGAAUUAUCUAAGUAACACAACGGUUACCCACUAAAUUAGUUCAACUAACUAACUUAGAAUUUCAAAUCAAACCACACUAAUUCCUUUAUAGAUUUAGGAUCAGAGUAAGACCGAAAGAAUAUAUUCUCAAACAACUAUACAAUAUACGCCUGAGUUUAGGUUUUUCUUGAAUGAUUCUUCUCCUUGAUUUUCUUAAUCCUUUGCAAGAGUUCUUGAAUAUGCUUUUUCAAGUUGAAAACUAAAGAGCAAUGUUUUGAAAGAUGACAUUGUAUAGACAAGUCCCUUUCCUUUAACUCAUGCCAUUGGUUGGAAAGGUCUGACUUUUCUGACGCGGUUGGGAACUGUGCAACAACUUUUUGUACCUUCUCCAGCUGACAGUCAACGAACUGUUCAAGUUGAGAAACGGGUACCUUCACAAGGUCCCUGAGUUUGUUACAUCAUCAAAACUACAAAUAACAGAAGAGAUAUCUAAAACCAACAUAUACAAUUCUAGUUCACAUGCAAUUCAUUAUAAACUUUCUCUAAUAUAGCAUAAUCAAUAAAAAUAGAUCAUAUCCAACCUCAAAGCCGACCACACAUGCUGCCAAUCUGCUGAACUGGAGCUUCUCACUUUUGAAACACCUAUGAUCACCACCACGCUAUCAAAAUAUUGGUCACAACAUCAAUAAGAACGUUUCGACACAAAAAUUGCAACAAUUGGUGAGGGCACUCCAAAUGGACUGAUGAACUAUAUUGAAGUGUCAUGUAGGUGAAGGAAUAAGUAAUCUUGAGAGUUCAGACAUCGAAUCAUAGGGAAAGUGUUCUAGGUAUUUUGGAAGUGAAUAGCUCGUGUGCAAUAGAUUUGGAGCACACGUGAUUGGCUACGAGGUAUCCUUCAUCCUACUUUCUUGAUUUGGCUUUUUCGAUAAUGCAUAAUAUAAAUUACAUGUGAUUUUGGAUUGUAUUUGCGUAGUAUUAGCCUUUUUUCUAUUUAUUCCAUCUUUUCUUGAUUCCGUACGUGCUUUGGACCUUUUGCGGGUGUUAAAAUCCUUAGUUAGGCUUUUAGGUUCUCUUGUGGUAUAGAUUCUCAUGGUUAUCUUUGUUAGGAUUGAUAUUGGUUGCUUUAAGGUUGGUUUGGACCUUAGAUUCUUUAGAGUGUACUUUAUCGCCCAAGUUAUUAUGAAUUUUUCUAUGUAGAGCUUGUAUCAGGUUUUUCUUCUUGUGUUGGUGCUUGGGACCUUGGUGGCUUGUAGUAGUUGUAGGUUGGCGCUAGGAUGGAGUGCUGUGACUGUGGUAGGGCGUCAUCCCUUGAAUUUGUUCCUCCUUUGUUGAUUCAGAAAUUUUUCUUGAUCUCUUCACUUGUUGGUUAGCAGUAUACUUGUUAUGCUCCUCUGAGCCGUAUUAUAUUCACAUUAUUGUCCUUGAGACAUGUUCGAGGACCAAUUGAAUCUCAGGUUAGUACUUUCCACCUUCGUAUCAUGGAUUGUUUGGACUUAUAUUUAUUUGGUUAUGAAUGCCUUAUUUCAAUGUUGGUGAUUGCAUGUAUUGAAUUGAUUGUUCAUUCUCACGUGUUUUGUGGUAUGAUACUAGCUCAUGCAUUGUCUCAUCUUGAUUAUUCAUAGAGAAAUAUUAUUUUUGCUUGGCUUUUAUUAUAAACUUGUUUUAACAGGAGUCGUACCACCUGGGGAUCACUUGACUUACUCAUUUUGAGAUUUAUGAGGUGUCAGCGACGUGCUCCUUUUCUACUUGAGAUAUUAGAGGCAUCUGACAUGUUAUCAGCUUUUACCUAACUAGUCGGCAUGUCGACACCCUUUCUUGUAUGAUUUUUGGUUGCUCAUGAUCCUUUACAGAGUUAAUCCCUUAUAUUUUCAAAUUAAAGGUUUGUUGUUAUCCUUGGUAAAGUCGACUUAAUAUAAGACCUGGAUUUGGACCCAUGUAGUGUAUAUAGACUUACCACAACCCCUAUGAGUCUCUUUGGCCAUGAGUACCAUAACGUGGAUGAGGGAUCUACAUAGGUCCUACUUAACUCACACGGUAGGGAGGUAGGUCUGCACACUUGGUUACCGAUGGUUAUUAAUAGUCCUACUGCAUACUCUAAUUCUUAUGUAUAGCCUAUCAUCAGUAUACUUGUUUGUUUAUUGCAACCUUCAGUUUAAGGGGCCGGUAGGGUUAUGUUUGUUGUUUGUACCAUCCAGACUUAUGGGGUCCGCUUAUGUUAUUGUUUGACUAUAUUAUGUUCUUUGUUGUUAUUUAUCUGUUAGGUGAAAGGUUUUGGUUUUAGAAUUUUUGUUGUUAGUCCUCCUGAUUCUUGAUAGUUGACUUUGCGUCUUAGUCACUUGGAUUAAGUUGUUGGCUUGGGUUUAAGGUAGGUUCUUGAUUCAAUUCCUUAUUUAUUAUCUCAUUUUUGUUCAUUUUUUGGUACUUAUACUACACUUCUUUUCCAACAGAUCAUAGUUGAUUCUUCAUCAAUGAUUUGGAGUCGUGCGGACUGUUGGCGUUCAAAGUUACCAUUUUAUGUCUGUUUUGACUAGUAAAAUGUCUGUUUUGACUAGUCUUAGCUUUUAUAUUAUAUUCAGAGACGGUAUGUACUCAUUUUGUAUUUGUAAAGCCUUGUACUCUUAUCUUA